rnacentral:tRNA from 1 species
CAGAAAAUAGUUUAAGUUAGAAUAGUAACUUUGGGAGUUAUUGGUGUGAGAGUAAAUUCUUGUUUUUCUGA